CCCAUUUUCUCAACUAGGGCUUGAAGUAGCUAAAUCAUUUUAAAUAAGGGCUUAAAAUGACCGGAUGCCUUCUAAAGAGUAACAGAGGUGUGAGAAGGCAGGCUCAAGCCAAGAUUCCACUCAUGAGAAUAACGGUAUAAGCUUGCCCGAUUGUGAGACCGAUUGGUCGGAAAAAGACGAAAGUCAAUCAUAGUGAUCCAGGAAAGGAAUGCCGGGGAUAAUAGAUUGAUGACUCCCGAGAGCUCUUAUUGAUAGAGUCUGUUUGGUACCUUAAUGUCGACUCAUCACAUCCUGGGGGUAAAAAGGUUCCCAAGGGUUCGUUGUUCACCAAUCAAAGUGGAAGAAAAUAAUUUUCUAUUUCCCCCGGU
rnacentral:ncRNA from 1 species